CCUACGGGUGGCAGCAGUGAGGAAUAUUGGUCAAUGGGCGCGAGCCUGAACCAGCGAAGUCGCGUGAGGGAUGAAGGUUCUAUGGAUCGUAAACCUCUUUUAUAAGGGAGUAAAGUGUGGGACGUGUCCUAUUUUGUAUGUACCUUAUGAAUAAGGAUCGGCUAACUCCGUGCCAGCAGCCGCGGUAAUACGGAGGAGCCGAGCGUUAUCCGGAUUUAUUGGGUUUAAAGGGUGCGUAGGCGGCCUUUUAAGUCAGCGGGGAAAGUCUGUGGCGCAACCAUGGAAUUGCCGUUGAAACUGGGGGGCUUGAGUAUGUUAGAGGCAGGCGGAAUGCGUGGUGUAGCGGUGAAAUGCUUAGAUAUCACGCAGAACCCCGGUGGCGAAGGCAGCCUGCCAGGCCAUGACUGACGCUGAUGCACGAAAGCGUGGGGAUCAAACAGGAUUAGAUACCCCAGUAGUC
rnacentral:rRNA from 1 species